GAUGAACGCUGGCGGCGUGCCUAAUACAUUCAAUUCGAGCGAACGGACGAUAAGCUUGCUUCUCUGAUGUUAUCGGCGGACUUGUGUGUAACUCGUGGAUAACCUACCUAUAAUUCUUGUAUAACUUCGGGAAACCUUAGCUAAUACCGGAUAAUAUUUUGAACCUCAUUGUUCAUAAGUUUAAUUCGUUCUUUCUGUCUCUUAUAGAUGGAUCCUCGCUGCAUUAGCUAGUUGGUAAGUUAACGCCUUACAAAGGCAAAGAUGCAUAGCCGACAUGAGAGGGGGAUCGGCCACACUGGAACGGAGACACGGUCCAGACAACUACGGGAGGCAGCAGAAGGGAAUCUUCCGCAAUGGGCGAAAGCAUGACGGAGCAACGCCGCGUGAGUGAUGAAGGUCUUCGGAUCGUAAAACUCUGUUAUUAGGGAAGAACAUAUGUGUAAGUAAAUGUGAACAUCUUGACGGUAACUAAUAAGAAAGCAACGGCUAACUACGUG
rnacentral:rRNA from 1 species